AGCAUGCAGAUGUGUGGAAAGCUCCCAUUCCCUCCAAAUAGGGAUAGGAAAGCGAUGGAGAUACUGUGAUAGGCCAUUCAACGAGCUCCCUCCUCCUUCCUCCCACUUCAGUCCACCUCGGCAUGCUUCGUAAAUCUUUUCACAGCAGUUGGGCAUUGAGGAGUCAUUCAAAAGCACCUGUUGCUGGGCUGUGCUGGAGCCGUGCGCCCAGUUAGUAGAAUCCUGCUGACCACAGCAAUGAAUUAUAUUGUGGUUUUCUGUGCCACAAAGAGCGAGAUCUGUAUCAUGGAAUACUUACACUUCCUCCUUCAUGAGACUAUCUAGACAAGUACUUCCAUCCUGCCCUGUACUGUUCUAAUAUAUGCUGAUUACUUUACAGAAGAGAGGAAGUGCCACAGUAAUCAUAAGGAGAUAAAGCUCCAGUCAAACAUCUUUCUUCACUUUCAGUGCUACCCUGACACCUUAGGGACCCGUUUUGUAGGCGCGAACCCAUUUGUCAGACUCCUGGCUAACACCUCCGCACAGCCAGAUGUGCUCAGCUUGUUGGCUUGCUGUCCUGUGGCUUCUGACCCUAAUCCCUGCCGCAUCACUUGGGAAAGAAUGUCUUCCCCCUUCACCUUUUGCCCAGUCAUCUUGCUUCCAGCCUGCUUUGUGGCACCUUCUUCAGCAGCAUGUGAUUCCUGGAAGUCCCUAGUCAUUCAUUAUGAUGGUUGAGAUGAUGUUGUUGGCCGGAUCCUGGCUUUGGAAUUCAGUGGUAAACAUUCUCACAAAACACUUACUGUCUGUCACAAUAAUUUGCUAAUCUGUUUAUAGCUGGGAUUCUUACAAAAUGAAAUCAGUCCCCCGCACUGCCUCUUCAUCCAAAUGUCUCCAAGAAACAGAAUUGGUGCCUUUGAUGACAUCACUUUUCUUGCUGCUGCUUAAUUCAACAUUGAGCAAUAAGCAU
ensembl:lncRNA